rnacentral:rRNA from 1 species
UACGGGGGGGGCAAGCGUUGUUCGGAAUUACUGGGCGUAAAGGGCUCGUAGGUGGCCAACUAAGUCAGACGUGAAAUCCCUCGGCUUAACCGAGGAACUGCCGUCCAAACUGCUUAGCUUGAGACCGGGAGAGGUGAGUGGAAUUCCCAGUGUAGCGGUGAAAUGCGUAGAUAUUGGGAGGAACACCAGUGGCGAAGGCGGCUCACUGGACCGGUACUGACGCUGAGGCGCGAAAGCGUGGGGAGCAAACGGG